CAGGCUGCAACUCGCCUGCAUGAAGUCGGAAUUGUUAGUAAUCGUAGGUCAGCAUACUACGGUGAAUACGUUCCCGGGCCUUGUACACACCGCCCGUCAAACCAUGAGAGUUGGCAACACCCGAAGUCGGUAGUCUAACCGCAAGGAGGACGCCGCCGAAGGUGGGGUUGAUGAUUAGGGUUAAGUCGUAACAAGGUAAC
rnacentral:rRNA from 1 species